rnacentral:sRNA from 1 species
ACCUGAAAAGACGUCAGGAUCAUCGGAGGAAAAGC